GGUUAAGCGACUAAGCGUACACGGUGGAUGCCCUGGCAGUCAGAGGCGAUGAAGGGCGUGCUAAUCUGCGAUAAGCGCCGGUAAGGUGAUAUGAACCGUUAUAACCGGCGAUACCCGAAUGGGGAAACCCAGUGUGAYUCGUCACACUAUCAUUAACUGAAUCCAUAGGUUAAUGAGGCGAACCGGGGGAACUGAAACAUCUAAGUACCCCGAGGAAAAGAAAUCAACCGAGAUUCCCCCAGUAGCGGCGAGCGAACGGGGAGGAGCCCAGAGCCUGAAUCAGCAUGUGUGUUAGUGGAAGCGUCUGGAAAGGCGCGCGAUACAGGGUGACAGCCCCGUACACAAAAGCGCAUGUGCUGUGAGCUCGAUGAGUAGGGCGGGACACGUGGUAUCCUGUCUGAAUAUGGGGGGACCAUCCUCCAAGGCUAAAUACUCCUGACUGACCGAUAGUGAACCAGUACCGUGAGGGAAAGGCGAAAAGAACCCCGGCGAGGGGAGUGAAAAAGAACCUGAAACCGUGUACGUACAAGCAGUGGGAGCCCCACCACUAAGCCAGUGGUGAACUCCACAUACGCAUCCUUUGCUGAGGAUACGGUUAACGGAGCGAAAGCGACGUUCAACCUCAAAAGAAGCAGAGGGGGCUUAGUGGUGGGGUGACUGCGUACCUUUUGUAUAAUGGGUCAGCGACUUAUAUUCUGUAGCAAGGUUAACCGAAUAGGGGAGCCGGAGGGAAACCGAGUCUUAAUUGGGCGUUAAGUUGCAGGGUAUAGACCCGAAACCCGGUGAUCUAGCCAUGGGCAGGUUGAAGGUUGGGUAACACUAACUGGAGGACCGAACCGACUAAUGUUGAAAAAUUAGCGGAUGACCUGUGGCUGGGGGUGAAAGGCCAAUCAAACCGGGAGAUAGCUGGUUCUCCCCGAAAGCUAUUUAGGUAGCGCCUCGUGAAUUCAUCUCCGGGGGUAGAGCACUGUUUCGGCUAGGGGGCCAUCCCGGCUUACCAACCCGAUGCAAACUGCGAAUACCGGRGAUACGUUCGUUGGGUAGGGGAGCGUUCUGUAAGCCUGUGAAGGUGGCCUGUGAGGGUUGCUGGAGGUAUCAGAAGUGCGAAUGCUGACAUAAGUAACGAUAAAGCGGGUGAAAAGCCCGCUCGCCGGAAGACCAAGGGUUCCUGUCCAACGUUAAUCGGGGCAGGGUGAGUCGACCCCUAAGGCGAGGCCGAAAGGCGUAGUCGAUGGGAAACGGGUUAAUAUUCCCGUACUUGGUGUUACUGCGAAGGGGGGACGGAGAAGGCUAUGUUGGCCGGGCGACGGUUGUCCCGGUUUAAGCGUGUAGGUGUGUGUUCCAGGUAAAUCCGGUUCACUUUAACACUGAGGCGUGAYGACGAGGCACUACGGUGCUGAAGCAACAAAUGCCCUGCUUCCAGGAAAAGCCUCUAAGCAUCAGGUAACAUCAAAUCGUACCCCAAACCGACACAGGUGGUCAGGUAGAGAAUACCAAGGCGCUUGAGAGAACUCGGGUGAAGGAACUAGGCAAAAUGGUGCCGUAACUUCGGGAGAAGGCACGCUGACACGUAGGUGAAGUGAUUUACUCACGGAGCUGAAGUCAGUCGAAGAUACCAGCUGGCUGCAACUGUUUAUUAAAAACACAGCACUGUGCAAACACGAAAGUGGACGUAUACGGUGUGACGCCUGCCCGGUGCCGGAAGGUUAAUUGAUGGGGUCAGCGCAAGCGAAGCUCCUGAUCGAAGCCCCGGUAAACGGCGGCCGUAACUAUAACGGUCCUAAGGUAGCGAAAUUCCUUGUCGGGUAAGUUCCGACCUGCACGAAUGGCGUAAUGAUGGCCAGGCUGUCUCCACCCGAGACUCAGUGAAAUUGAACUCGCUGUGAAGAUGCAGUGUACCCGCGGCAAGACGGAAAGACCCCGUGAACCUUUACUAUAGCUUGACACUGAACAUUGAGCCUUGAUGUGUAGGAUAGGUGGGAGGCUUUGAAGYGUGGACGCCAGUCUGCRUGGAGCCGACCUUGAAAUACCACCCUUUAAUGUUUGAUGUUCUAACGUGGACCCGUWAYCCGGGUUGCGGACAGUGUCUGGUGGGUAGUUUGACUGGGGCGGUCUCCUCCUAAAGAGUAACGGAGGAGCACGAAGGUUGGCUAAUCCUGGUCGGACAUCAGGAGGUUAGUGCAAUGGCAUAAGCCAGCUUGACUGCGAGCGUGACGGCGCGAGCAGGUGCGAAAGCAGGUCAUAGUGAUCCGGUGGUUCUGAAUGGAAGGGCCAUCGCUCAACGGAUAAAAGGUACUCCGGGGAUAACAGGCUGAUACCGCCCAAGAGUUCAUAUCGACGGCGGUGUUUGGCACCUCGAUGUCGGCUCAUCACAUCCUGGGGCUGAAGUAGGUCCCAAGGGUAUGGCUGUUCGCCAUUUAAAGUGGUACGCGAGCUGGGUUUAGAACGUCGUGAGACAGUUCGGUCCCUAUCUGCCGUGGGCGCUGGAGAACUGAGGGGGGCUGCUCCUAGUACGAGAGGACCGGAGUGGACGCAUCACUGGUGUUCGGGUUGUCAUGCCAAUGGCACUGCCCGGUAGCUAAAUGCGGAAGAGAUAAGUGCUGAAAGCAUCUAAGCACGAAACUUGCCCCGAGAUGAGUUCUCCCUGAGACUUAGAGUCUCCUGAAGGAACGUUGAAGACGACGACGUUGAUAGGCCGGGUGUGUAAGCGCAGCGAUGCGUUGAGCUAACCGGUACUAAUGAACCGUGAGGCUUAACCUU
rnacentral:rRNA from 1 species